rnacentral:tRNA from 1 species
GGGAGUAUAGUUAAAAAUAACAUCUAAAUUGCAAUUAGAAGGAACUAUAAAAGUUAUUCUCA